AACUUGCUUCUAGGACAAACUCAUCUAGACUUUCUAUACUCAAGGAAAGAAAAGAGGGCUCACAGCAGCCCACCCCCAUGAAAAGCAAAUGUAUUAGCCGAGUGUUGCCCUGUGGCCUCCAGGGGGUCUCCCCUCCUUUUCUUCCUGAGUUCUUUCUCUCCGUGACUGGGCCUUGUCUGCCCCUUCUGGGACAUGCUGUUGUAUUCCAUUUUCCAAGGGAAGGGAGCAGAGGCUCAGCUGUAGAGCCAGCCCCUCCCCACCUGCAACUCACCCUUCCUAUUUGUACGAUCGUCCACGUUAGGUGGGAAUCUAGAGCACCGCACAGGCAGCUCUCCCUUCCACCCUCACAGACAACUCUGACAGACCCAGGCCCUCACUGUGCUCCUCCGGAAGCCGAGUAAACCUUCAUGAACUUUUCUUGCACAGCCUCCCAGGCAUCUGGACUUGGCCCAAGAGUGAACCGAUCUCUAGGCAUCUUUGGUAACAGUCAUCAUCUCCCACCCCCACACACUUAUUUUUAAAUCACUCCGAGAUGUGUACUUCGAUAAGCAGUGUGUGGGCAGGGUGGCUGCUGUUAGCCUUGCGCCCUCUCCCACCAACGCCCAUCUUUCAGGAAGUGCUCAGUAAAUAUCUGGGGCCAAGGAAGCCCCUCCCACUGCUGAGCUCCUCUCCCCACUUCUCCAAGAAAGGCUUUCUCCACCACAGACUCUGACCCUGCAUGUAGGACCUGGAACUAUGUGCCCUGGUGAGUUCUCCUCCGUCCCUCUGCUCCGGAGUAGGCGACUCCAGAAAUGACUGUGAAGUCUUCUGUGGAGGACAGCUGUCGGGCAGGCGAGAGCCCUGUCCUGGAAGCCCUGCUGGGAAACCAACAGAAGUGCUUUGGACCUGUUUGUGGGUAACUGACACUACAUGGAAAGAACAUCUUCCAGGCUCAUCCCCGGGACCCCGUGUUCAUAUACUCAGUGCACUGGCUGGUUUCCUGUCAACUUGACGCGGGCUAGAGUCAUCCGAGGAAGGAGCCUCAGCUGAGGAAAGGCCUCCUUGAGAGCCAGCUCCUCCAGAACAGCAUGGCCUCCGGUUCUCUCUCAGCACUACUGGCAGAGCAUCUCAGGCUUCUUGGAAGCACUCUUCUUGGAGGAGUCUAGGCCCAGCCCUUUGUUUUCCUUUCCGUAAGUGUGUCCACUCCCUUGGCGAUCCCAGUCACACGGAAGCCUUAAGCACCAGCUGUAGGCCAGAACAACUCCCACAAUGAUUUCUCCAUCCUCUGUUGAAGUUGCUGGACCAGCUGUGGAGUCAACACUUCCAUGGGAGGCUUAACUGUGUCCUACAGGGCCUCCUAACAUCUCCUUACAAUCCUGAUGGUGUCCGGUGUCCUCCGUGCCAGUGACUGCUCAGAGCCACCAAGGAUGGCUUUAUCUAAUGCACACAAAAUCCUUGGCUCAGCCUUAAGCUAACCCAGAAGCUAUUACCCAGACCCAGGCUCUGAAGUGUAAGUCAUGUUAGUGUUGAAUAUUAUCUUCCUUUUCCCCCUCAGCUGUCUUUCUCCUAGUUUCCAUGAUCCUGUUACAUUACUUUUGUUGAAUCAAAAAUGCUCCUUCCCUCCAGCCUGAUUCCAGAGCCCCAUAAGUCCCAAAUAAACACACAGGAGGCUAUAUUAAUUAUGAAGCUGUUGGCCUUGCUUGCUUUAUACUGGCUAGCUCUGACUUAAGUAUUUACCCCAUAAUUGUUAAUCUAAGUAUGUCUCUUACGGGAGAAUAGUUCCGAACUCCUUAUCCCUAUAACGGCUACAUCGUGACUCCCUGUGUUUCUCCUAUCCAGAGUCUUCCUGGACUCCUAGUCCCACCUAUCUUGCUUCCCUAUUGGCCAACAGUGCUUUAUUGACAUAUACACAGGACUUUCCCAACACCUUGAUAUUUGGAAUAAGAGUCAGGACCCUUCCAAUGUGUGCUGAACUGACUGCAUAGUGGCUGCAGGUUCUGCUGGUCCCGUAUCUCCUUAAAAGCAACUGUACCACUGAUGGGGGAAGUCCUUCUGUGUAUAUGCAAAUAAAGCACUGUUGGCCAAUGGGGAAGCAAGAUACGUGGGACUAGGAGUCUAGAAGGAUUCUGGGAAAUGUAGUGAAGAGAGUCGUCGCCACAUGAUUCCUGGAGGCCGGAACGCAAGUCUGGCGUUCUCGGGAAGAUAAGUCCUUAUAAAAAUAUAUAUUAGUAAUUAUGGGUUAGUGAUUAAGCCAGAGCUUGCCAAUUAGAGACCAUAGCAAAUGGCCAACAGCUUUAUAAUUAAUAUAGUGUCCUGUGUGUUAUUUGGGGGCUAAAGUGGCCGCGGGACCCAGGCAGAAUCCAGCAACAGGACCACCUUUUUCUACACAAGGCAGAGUCUGAGUCCUGAUCCCUGAAAUCUGUCCCUGUGGUUCGUUUUGACCUGCAGAAUGCAAUUUAAGUGACAAUGUGUCACUUCUGAGCCUGGGGCCCUGCUCUAUCUAUAUGAACAAGCCUAAGCAGGAGGCCGAGACACAUCACCUUCUGUGUUAAUACUCUUCUCCUUGCUACAACAAAAUACCUGGAAAAUCAGCUUCAAGAGGGAAGCUUCCCGUUUCAGUUCACAGCUCCAGGACACGGUCCAUCAUGGUGGAAAAGACAUGGAGGCAAGAGCAGCUGUGGCUGUGACGGCAUCAGUGUGAGGCAGCUGGCCACAUUGUGUCCACAGUCAAGAAGCUGGUGCUCAGUUUUUUAGUCUGUCUGGGACCCCAGCCUAUGGGCAGUGCUGAUUCCACUCCAGAUGUGUCUUCCCUGCUCAGCAAACCCCUUUGAGAACUCCCUCACAGACAUGUGCCUAGCUGUUUGUGGAAGGCUAGUUUAAGAUGUGUUAUACGUUUGUUUAUGCUGUGGAACAUUGGUGUCAUGAUGUAAAGAUGUGUUGCAUUCUUUUAUGUUA